rnacentral:lncRNA from 1 species
AGAGAAGUUGCCAUCUCCAGUGUGAGCGAGGGCGACUCCUCAAUCAAGGAUUCCAGCCAGUCACCCUGUGCACAAGAAACCACUGGUAAGCAACGAGAGCGAGCAGGAGAAAGCACUUUGGGGAAGAGAAGGGCAAAGAAGUUUUGAGAGUACUUCUGCCAUACGUGAGCUUCUUUGGCUAUCCCAGCCACUGUGCUGUGCCCUGGGAAGGGAAAAAACAGCAUCAGAGUGCAAGUGCCUCCAUCUUGCCCACUUUCCCAGACCAUAUGAACAUGGCAUAAAGAGCUGGUGGUGUGGCUCUGACAGCACUCCUGCAAUUGCUGUGCUGCGUGGAAGAGAACAACCUGUCAUGGUCUCUUAUUCAUACAUUUUCCCAAAUCUGGCUUCCUCUGCUUAGCCCCCAUACGAGGCUAAAGAGUACAGAAAGUGGCUUCCUUUCCCUGACUUCACACAAGACUUGAGAGGAACAUUGUCUUCUCCUUUUCUUUGAGAAGUGCUGGCGAGCACAGGCUGUUACAGUCCACCGCAUACAGUGCCUUGGCAUCAGAAGCGGUCAGCUGUUCCAUGCUCCUGUUUGCUUGGUGGUGUGUGGCAGAGGGCAUGAGAGAAAGGAAAGCAAUGCUAUACUUCUGAAAUGAGGCAUAGCAAGUGGUGUGUGCCCGCAGCUCCAGCCCAGCCUGCCGCCAGUGUCUGUUCUUUCGUUAGCAAGUAGAACAUUACAAGUGACUUGCACUUAGUUGCUCCCCUGUGCAAACCUCUCUGAUCUCCAGCAGGCCUGGAAGACAUGAUUCAAGGAUGUGUGUUGCUUCAUCUUUUUGGAAAUGCACAGCUAGCGUUCUGUGGUAACGUUAUCUUUGAAAUACAAGAGUGCUUUGUAAAGGCUACCAAUACUGCUAAACUUAAUGACAGGAAAAAAUAAUUUUUAAGAUAUGCCUCUGCCAGAACAACAUUCUGUUUGUCAGAAACAGCCAACAGUCCUCCCGCAAAAGAAGAGGGAUGUAUAUCUCUGCUAUUUGCUUCUCCUCCUUUACAGUCUGUAGAAGGGUGCAUGCAGAGAAUCUUUUCUGUCUACUUUGCCAAAACAAGGAGGACACCACAGUAAUAAUCUUUGAUGACAGAAAUGUUGGACUGAAUCAAAAUUUGUUAUAAGCUAUAUAGCAGAACAAAUUGUUACCUUUUACCUGUGCAGGAAGUGAUCUCUUUAUUUAACAACAGUUGAAGCAAAAGAAA